rnacentral:snRNA from 1 species
AUCGCUUCUCGGCCUUUUGGCUAAGAUCAAGUGUAGUAAACAAUACAAUGACAAGAAUAUUGUAUUUAUAAUAGCAACAAAAAAAUUU